AACGAACGCUGGCGGCAUGCCUAACACAUGCAAGUCGAACGAGACCUUCGGGUCUAGUUGCGCACGGGUGCGUAACGCGUGGGAACCUGCCCUUAGGUUCGGAAUAACUCCCCGAAAGGGGUGCUAAUACCGGAUAAUGUCUUCGGACCAAAGAUUUAUCGCCUUUGGAUGGGCCCGCGUUGGAUUAGCUAGUUGGUAGGGUAAAAGCCUACCAAGGCGACGAUCCAUAGCUGGUCUGAGAGGAUGAUCAGCCACACUGGGACUGAGACACGGCCCAGACUCCUACGGGAGGCAGCAGUGGGGAAUAUUGGACAAUGGGCGAAAGCCUGAUCCAGCAAUGCCGCGUGAGUGAUGAAGGCCUUAGGGUUGUAAAGCUCUUUUAACCGGGAUGAUAAUGACAGUACCGGGAGAAUAAGCUCCGGCUAACUCCGUG
rnacentral:rRNA from 1 species